GGCACCUGCGGGAGACCCACAGGAUGCGGCCGAGGCUCCCUGGGCUGGCAGGCACCAGGGCAGGGCAUGCAAAGCAGAGGGGCUGGGCAUGGUUUCCUGCAGGCACACCUGCACAAGUACGUCACUGGUACCACACUGGCGGUUCUCUGAUCCUCACUUCCCAACCUCCAGGCACUGCCUAGUCAAGGGCAGUUCAGAAAGGACAGGAUCCUAAUGCUGGGGGGUGAGGAUGGCAGGAGACCUGCUGGGAAUUCCCAGACUUACUAGAUUCCUGGAGUGGAGGACCCUGACCCCUGGCCUCAGCCUGGUUAAUCAGGGGGCUUGGGGUUAGUCCUGCCAGGACUAGGGAUCCAGUGGCCUCUGCUGGCCACUUUGGGAAUCUGCAUGGCCUGACCUCUCACCCACACUCCCUGGAGAAUAGAGUCGACUCUGUGAACAGCCUGGGCCUGACACGCAGGCCCUCAUAAGCCAAGGGAGAUCCCUCUGUCCGCUGAGUGGAGGCUGGAUGACUGGUGUCGGGGUGCAAGGACCUGGCCUGCACCCCUUACCUCACACCGUUCCAGCCUGCGUGCUGCCCGCCCCUUGCUGUCCUCUCUUGAGCCACUGUUGGGACGCCCGCCGCACAACCUCCCAGCCAAGGUGGCAGCUGGAAGGAGAGGGAAGAGUGUCUGGCUGCACACAGCUGGCUAUGGUGGUGGCGGACACCCAGAGUCUAAGGUGCUGUCCGAGGACAGAGGCUCAGUGCCUUGGGGGCAGAGCGGGAUGCUGGUGAAACAAAGAUCAAAGGGCAGCCCUGUGCAGUACUGGAGAAGCCUGCAGCCACAGCACAGGGAGGAGCAAACAUCCUGUCAGGAGGCUCCUGGUGUCUACUGAGCAGCUGUUGCAUGUCUGACACAGAAUUUGCUCUGUUGCAAAUUGAUCACUGUGUAAGAUGUGUUACCCGGAUUCUACAGAGGAGGAAGCUGGAGCUCAGGGAGGAGAAGGCACCUUGGAUAGUAGUGGCAUUCAGACUUGAGUGGAAUCACGCCCCGUACCAAAGCCCCUUUCCUUCACCUAGCUGCAUCUAGAAUGGAGGAAAUCCUGGAAGACUUCUUAGAGGAGGUGAAAUGCACACUGAUCCUUGAGGAAGGGUGCCAAGAAAUCCAUCCCGCAGAGAAGAGGAGGAAAGACAAGAAAAGAUAAUUGUGGCAGAGGAACAGUGUUAAUAAAGGCCAGGAGGUUUGUAAGUGGGAAAAGGCGGAGAGCUGGGCUGUGGAUGGAGCAGGAAAUGGAGAUGGGGGUCCUCCCAUCUGUCAAAGGCCCUGAAUGACAGAUAAAGAAAACCAAGCCUCUGAGAGGUGACGCGGUCGGCCCGGUCCCACAGCCAUCGGAGGUCCAGCAGAAUUUGAACCCACGUCUUCUUGACUCUCGAGGCCAGGCUCUGAACAACCGCGUUAGUCACCCCAUGGGGAGGCCUCUGCUCUCGACCCCAGCUGCCAGCCUGACUCAGCAACUGUGGGUGGCCUCGCUCCUGUGCCUGGGCAGCACAGCCAGCAAGAAGUCUCCCACUUCCUUGAAAACCAAAUAUGGGCAGACCAGGCCCUUGGAGGCCUGACCCCCAGGCUGGGCCUGCUCCCGCCUGCUCCUCUGUGCCAUGGGGCCCUACUCCCUGCACAACCGCCUGGCUCUGCCCCAGAGGACUCUGGGAGAGCAUCCAUCCAGAUCCCCCUCCUCAUAGGAUCUUGUUGAACAGGUUACUGAAAGGGCAUGUGAGACCAGUGUCUCAUCCAUGUCUCAGGAAUUCCUAACUCCAAGCCUUUGUGGUGCUGUCCCUUCCCCCUGGAGCACCUCUCCCUCUCUACCCAGCUCUUAUGCCUUCUUUGGUUUCCAAUG